rnacentral:rRNA from 1 species
UACGUAGGGUGCGAGCGUUGUCCGGAAUUAUUGGGCGUAAAGAGCUCGUAGGCGGUCUGUCGCGUCGGAUGUGAAAACUCGGGGCUCAACCCCGAGCCUGCAUUCGAUACGGGCAGACUAGAGUUCGGUAGGGGAGACUGGAAUUCCUGGUGUAGCGGUGAAAUGCGCAGAUAUCAGGAGGAACACCGGUGGCGAAGGCGGCUUGCUGGGCCAGUUCUGACGCUGAGGAGCGAAAGCGUGGGGAGCGAACAGG